UCUGGUUUGUAGAUGGUGCCUUCUAGCUGUGUCCUCACAGGGUAGAAGGGGCAAGGUCUCUUAUGAGGACACUAAUCCUGUUCAUGAGGGCUCUACUCUCAUGACCUAAUCACCUCCCCCAAACCCCAUCUCCUAAUAUCAUCACCUUGGGGGUUAAGAUUUCAACAUAUGAAUUUGGGGAAGGGGGCACAAACAUUAGACCAUAGCAUAGACACAGUCCUGCCCUCAAGAAGCGUAGAGUCAGUUCCAUCUCUGACCUCUGCUGAUCUGUCUCUGACUACAAUUUUUUUUCUUUCAGUUGUCUUGCUCCCUUCCUCCUAGGACAUCCAUACACUGAACUGAGGUUCUGAGAUCUCUCUUGAAUUUAUUCUACAUGCAAGAACUAAGAAGAAAGAGGGGAAGAAAGAGCUAACAUAUAUUAAGCACCAGCUUUGGAUUAGAUGUUUUACAAGUGGCAUGUACUUUAAUCCUCGGCACAAUCCUAUGAAAGUGCUCCAGGUGCCUGUGGUCCAUAGAAUGGAGUGAGUCUCUAAGCAAAUCUGGAGGGACUCUGGCAGCUGAAGAUUCAGAAUAUCUCCACUUAUUCUUUCCGCAGCCUUUGCUGCUCAACUGUUGGGUGCCAUGAUCGUAUGAGCUGCUCCCUUCCUCAGCCUUUCCUGGUUCCUUCCAUGAGCCCACUGAUCUGUGGCAGCAUUUUAACAGCCUUGGUCCAUCUAUUUGUAGAGGUGUUAGCAUGAGACACACAAGGAUCUGGAAACUUUGAAGGAGACUGAUACCACAAUGCAGGAACCCGAUAAGGAUUCCAGGGAGGUAACACACACCAAGGGAUUGGCAUUUAAAUUAUCACUCUUCCUCUUCUUUCUCUCAAUCAAUGAGAUUUGUAGACAUUAUCUCAUUUUAAAUAUUUAUAUAUAUUGAUAUGGCACAAUGGCCCCAUGAGGUUGAUAUUAUCAUCCCCUGCCCUCUUUUUUUCUAACAAUGCAUUGGAGCAUCAGACUUUAAGUCAAUGAUUUGAACCCAGUUCUUCUUGGCUUCAAAGCCUAGGGGCACAAUCACUCCACUGGACCACUAGGUACCUGCAACUCUCUGCUUUGGACUUCUCCUGAGCUGCAAAACCCAGGUAUUAUUAGAGCACCAUCAGUGAUAGAUUUUCAUGUAUAUGCAUGUGUUUCUACCCAGCAGUGCAAUUAAUGAGCCCUUAAGGGUAUGUGUGUAGAUGACAUGUUCUUUACUCCCUAGGAACAAUGUAGAAAGCCACCAGGACACCAAAUUUCAAUGUCUUUGCAAAGGACUAGGUCACAACCUCAGUGGAGAUUUUUUUUUUUCAAUUUUUUUCCUUUUUUUCUUAUGGUCACAU